GACGAACGCUGGCGGCGUGCUUAACACAUGCCAGUCGAACGGAAAGGCCCUGCUUUUGUGGGGUGCUCGAGUGGCGAACGGGUGAGUAACACGUGAGUAACCUGCCCUUGACUUUGGGAUAACUUCAGGAAACUGGGGCUAAUACCGGAUAGGAGCUCCUGCUGCAUGGUGGGGGUUGGAAAGUUUCGGCGGUUGGGGAUGGACUCGCGGCUUAUCAGCUUGUUGGUGGGGUAGUGGCUUACCAAGGCUUUGACGGGUAGCCGGCCUGAGAGGGUGACCGGCGACAUUGGGACUGCGAUACGGACCAGACUCCUACGGGAGGCAGCAGUGGGGAAUAUUGCACAAUGGGCGGAAGCCUGAUGCAGCAACGCCGCGUGCGGGAUGACGGCCUUCGGGUUGUAAACCGCUUUCGCCUGUGACGAAGCGUGAGUGACGGUAAUGGGUAAAGAAGCACCGGCUAACUACGUG
rnacentral:rRNA from 1 species